GGUGACAGCCCCGUACACAAAAAUGCACAUGCUGUGAGCUCGAUGAGUAGGGCGGGACACGUGGUAUCCUGUCUGAAUAUGGGGGGACCAUCCUCCAAGGCUAAAUACUCCUGACUGACCGAUAGUGAACCAGUACCGUGAGGGAAAGGCGAAAAGAACCCCGGCGAGGGGAGUGAAAAAGAACCUGAAACCGUGUACGUACAAGCAGUGGGAGCCUCUUUAUGGGGUGACUGCGUACCUUUUGUAUAAUGGGUCAGCGACUUAUAUUCUGUAGCAAGGUUAACCGAAUAGGGGAGCCGAAGGGAAACCGAGUCUUAACUGGGCGUUAAGUUGCAGGGUAUAGACCCGAAACCCGGUGAUCUAGCCAUGGGCAGGUUGAAGGUUGGGUAACACUAACUGGAGGACCGAACCGACUAAUGUUGAAAAAUUAGCGGAUGACUUGUGGCUGGGGGUGAAAGGCCAAUCAAACCGGGAGAUAGCUGGUUCUCCCCGAAAGCUAUUUAGGUAGCGCCUCGUGAAUUCAUCUCCGGGGGUAGAGCACUGUUUCGGCAAGGGGGUCAUCCCGACUUACCAACCCGAUGCAAACUGCGAAUACCGGAGAAUGUUAUCACGGGAGACACACGGCGGGUGCUAACGUCCGUCGUGAAGAGGGAAACAACCCAGACCGCCAGCUAAGGUCCCAAAGUCAUGGUUAAGUGGGAAACGAUGUGGGAAGGCCCAGACAGCCAGGAUGUUGGCUUAGAAGCAGCCAUCAUUUAAAGAAAGCGUAAUAGCUCACUGGUCGAGUCGGCCUGCGCGGAAGAUGUAACGGGGCUAAACCAUG
rnacentral:rRNA from 1 species